GACGAACGCUGGCGGCGUGCCUAAUACAUGCCAGUUGAGCGAUGAAGCUUGGUGCUUGCCCCAAUUUGAAGAGCAGCGAACGGGUGAGUAACGCGUGGGGAAUCUGCCUUUGAGCGGGGGACAACAUUUGGAAACGAAUGCUAAUACCGCAUAACAACUUUAAACAUAAGUUUUAAGUUUGAAAGAUGCAAUUGCAUCACUCAAAGAUGAUCCCGCGUUGUAUUAGCUAGUUGGUGAGGUAAAGGCUCACCAAGGCGAUGAUACAUAGCCGACCUGAGAGGGUGAUCGGCCACAUUGGGACUGAGACACGGCCCAAACUCCUACGGGAGGCAGCAGUAGGGAAUCUUCGGCAAUGGACGAAAGUCUGACCGAGCAACGCCGCGUGAGUGAAGAAGGUUUUCGGAUCGUAAAACUCUGUUGGUAGAGAAGAACGUUGGUGAGAGUGGAAAGCUCAUCAAGUGACGGUAACUACCCAGAAAGGGACGGCUAACUACGUG
rnacentral:rRNA from 1 species